rnacentral:rRNA from 1 species
GCCCGAAAGGACGGGUAAUACCCGGAUACCCCGGGGUGCCGCAUGGCACCCCGGCUAAAGCCCCGACGGGAGGGGGAUGGCUCCGCGGCCCAUCAGGUAGACGGCGGGGUGACGGCCCACCGUGCCGACAACGGGUAGCCGGGUUGAGAGACCGACCGGCCAGAUUGGGACUGAGACACGGCCCAGACUCCUACGGGAGGCAGCAGUGGGGAAUCUUGCGCAAUGGGGGGAACCCGUGACGCAGCGACGCCGCGUGCGGGACGGAGGCCUUCGGGUCGUAAACCGCUUUCAGCAGGGAAGAGAAGAGACUGUACCUGCAGAAGAAGCCCCCGGGCUAACUACGUGCCAGCAGCCGCGGUAAUACGUAGGGGGGCGAGCGUUAUCCGGAUUCAUUGGGCGUAAAGCGCGCGUAGGCGGCCCGGCAGGCCGGGGGUCGAAGCGGGGGGCUCAACCCCCCGAAGCCCCCGGAACCUCCGCGGCUUGGGUCCGGUAGGGGAGGGUGGAACACCCGGUGUAGCGGUGGAAUGCGCAGAUAUCGGGUGGAACACCGGUGGCGAAGGCGG